rnacentral:misc_RNA from 1 species
AGUUAAUGGCCACCUCUACUUGGUUAUCUCCCUGUUUAUUGAAUGAGCGUUCAAUCAUAAACUGCUAUACUGGGUUGGUAUGCAAUUAUUCAAGUCUAUUUGAGAAACAAAACUUUUGUACGAAACCAAUCUCUGCCUCUGCUGGAGUAAAGCUAAUAAGGAAUGGAAUCCGGUGUAGUACAUUGGAAAUUGAGAGUACCCCUUCAUUUUCAAUUGGAAAGAAAUUUCAACUUGAUGAUGUGAUUGAGGCACAGC